GUUAGCAAACAAGUUGGGUGAGCUAACAGAAGGCAAAAAAAAAACCCACAAACACCUCAAACUAAUUGAAUGGCUCCAAAAGAAAAAAAAUACUGAGAUGGAAAGUCAAGUGCAACCGGUGUCAUCACAAAAGGAACCUGAAGAAAAAGAUGGUGGAUCUGUGGACCGAUUUGAAUGCUUGAUUUCAUGAUGGACAACAUUGCUGCAUCCUCAAGAACCCUUUCAAGAAUGGCAAAGCAACGGGAGGUCUGCGUGACAGCGAUGGAGAGGCUGCAUCAUAGAGAAGGACAGAGAAUUGGGGGAAGGAGCAUUUCGUGGUGAUAGAUGAGUCACUUCAGACAUAAAAGAAAGUAUGGAAGGGGCAGGAUGGCUGGGGGCUGGAAGCGGAGGAAGUGGGUGUUCGGGAUGCUGGGGGUGCAAAGCAUGCGGAGGCGGCCAGGGCGAAGACAUCCAGGGAAGCCGGUGCUUCGCUUGGUGGAGAAGAGGGGGAGGAGGGAACUGGUGCCACUCAUAGCUCAUCAUGUCAAAAGGGAGCAGACAUUUCCAGGGAGGAUAAACAGAGGGUAGCCUAUCAUACUGUGUUAUUGUAUUAUGUUAAUAAAUAAUGUUUGUUCAAAGAUCUCCUCUGUGCGAAUUGUUGUUACGUAUCUGUUAUCACAGAUGUGUAUAUA